CGUUAGCGACAGAAGAAGCACCGGCUAACUCCGUGCCAGCAGCCGCGGUAAUACGGAGGGUGCGAGCGUUAAUCGGAAUUACUGGGCGUAAAGCGCAUGCAGGUGGUUUGUUAAGUCAGAUGUGAAAGCCCCGGGGCUCAACCUCGGAAUUGCAUUUGAAACUGGCAGACUAGAGUACUGUAGAGGGGGGUAGAAUUUCAGGUGUAGCGGUGAAAAUGCGUAGAGAUCUGAAGGAAUACCGGUGGCGAAGGCGGCCCCCCUGGACAGAUACUGACACUCAGAUGCGAAAGCGUGGGGAGCAAACAGGAUUAGAUACCCCUGGUAG
rnacentral:rRNA from 1 species